AUGGGUAUAAGAGAAAGGAUCUAACCAUGGCCAGAAUGAAGCUUUGGUGAUAAGAAGUGGAGGGUCGAACCGACCGAUGUUGAAAAAUCGACGGAUGAGUUGUGGUUAGGGGUGAAAUGCCAAUCGAACUCGGAGCUAGCUGGUUCUCCCCGAAAUGCGUUGAGGCGCAGCGGUUGAUUAUGGGCUUCCAGGGGGUAAAGCGCUGUCUCGGUGCGGGCUGCGAGAGCGGUACCAAUCUGUUGCAAACUCGGAAUACCUGGAAUGCUUUCAAUCAGCCAGUGAGACUGCGGGGGAUAAGCUCCGUAGUCAAAAGGGAAACAGCCCAGACCACCAGCUAAGGCUCCUAAAUAAAAGCUAAGUGGCAAAGGAGGUGAAAGUGCAGUGACAAUCAGGAGGUUUGCCUAGAAGCAGCCACCCUCUAAGGAGUGCGUAAUAGCUCACUGAUCAAGCGCUUUUGCGCCGAAAAUGACCGGAACUAAGUUUUUUGCCGAAGCUGUGGCUACAUUAAACAGAUGAUGUAGGGUAGAGGAGCGUUCCGCCCAGGGGGAAGCCAAGCGCGUAAGCCGCGGUGGACAGGGCGGAAGUGAGAAUGUCAGCUUGAGUAACGCAAACAUUGGUGAGAAUCCAGUGCCCCGAAAACUCAAGGGUUCCUGCGCAAGGCUCGUCCGCGCAGGGUCAGUCAGGACCUAAGGUGAGGCCGAAAGGCGUAAUUGAUGGCAAGAAGGUUUAUAUUCCUUCACUAGUCUAGGCUUAGUCCUGAGGGACGAACAAAUAACACUCGGCACAAUGGCCUUCCAUGGUAGGAAGGGUCAAACCAUUGUUGUUUGAUGGUAUUUUUUCCAAGAAAAGCUCAUUCGACUUUGAGUCUAGACUACCUGUACCGUAAACCGACACAGGUGAGUGGGUUGAAUAAACUAAGGGGAGCGAGAUAACUCUCUCUAAGGAACUCGGCAAAUUGGCUCUGUACCUUCGGAAGAAAGAGUGCCCCUCAGGGGGCCGCAGUGAAGAGAUCCAGGCGACUGUUUACCAAAAACACAGGUCUCCGCAAAGUCGUAAGACGACGUAUGGGGGCUGACACCUGCCCAGUGCCAGAAGGUUAAAGAAGUUGGUCAAUCUAUGAUGAAGCUAACGACUGAAGCCCUGGUGAACGGCGGCCGUAACUAUAACGGUCCUAAGGUAGCGAAAUUCCUUGUCGGGUAAGUUCCGACCCGCACGAAAGGUGUAACGAUCUGGAUACUGUCUCAGAGAGAGACUCGGUGAAAUAAAACUAUCUGUGAAGAUGCGGAACUGUCUCUUACACACAGCUGACGCGUCCGACGAUU
rnacentral:rRNA from 1 species